AGGGGGACACGGGGAGGAUGGGGCUGGGGGAUGGUUUUGUGGGACUGGAGGGCAGGGGGAGCGGGGGCAGCUCAUGGGGACGGGGACAGGGACGGGGUCAGGGCCCCCCCGCCCACCCCCUGCCCUGCCCCCAGGGGAGAUCAAGAAGGGGAAGGUUUCGGGCUGCCACAGCUGGGUGCAGCUCUACCGCCUGGAGAAGCUGGGGCAGCUCAACUACCUGAGCUACAGCUACGACGGGCCCGUGAGUGCCCCCCCUGGACCCCCCCCCCCGCCCUUGCCCCCCCCCCCCCACCCCCGCCCCCGGGGCCCCAGGUCCCCACUCCUCUGCGCCCACCCCCGGUGACUGUCCCCAGAGACCCCACGAGCAUCCCUGGGGUGUCCUGCCCCGGUGUCCCCGUGCCUGUCCCUGCGCCCUGGGGCCAUGCCCGUGGCCCCUUUGUGUCCCCAUGCCCGUGAUCCCAAAAUGUCCCCAUGCCUGUGAUCUCAAUGUGUCCCCAUGCCCGCAAUGGGACAUUCCCUGGGGCCACAUCCCUGGUCCCAUGGUGUCCCCAUGCCCAUCCCUGCACCCUGGGGCCAUGCCCAUGUCCCCCCUGGUGUCCCAAUGUGUCCCCAUGCCCGUGGUCCCAUCAUGUCCCUGUGCCCACAGUGGGACAUUCCCUGGGGCCAUGCCCCUGGUCCCAGCGUGUCCCCAUGGUGUCCCCAUGGUGUCCCCAUGGUGUCCCCAUUCCCACAGUGGGACAUUCCCUGGGGCCAUACCCCUGGUCCCUGCGUGUCCCCAUGGUGUCCCCACGGUGUCCCCACGCUGUCCCCAUGCCCGCAGUGGGACACCUUCCCCGACAUCCUGGCCCUGCAGUACCUCUGGGACGGGCACCUGAAGAGCAUCGGCUCCACCUUCAUGGGCUCCAGCCCCGAGUUCGACCUGGCCCUGUACACCCUGUGCUACAAGGCCCGGCCCGACCAGGAGUGCCACGUGACGCUGGGGGGCAAAGCGGCCACCAUCCAGACCUACUCCUGGACCAGCUCCUCCUACGGGAACGGGCAGCGCUUCGUGGCCUCCUCCUACCCCGUCAGCCCCUGACCCCCCCCCCCNNNNNNNNNNNNNNNNNNNNNNNNNNNNNNNNNNNNNNNNNNNNNNNNNNNNNNNNNNNNNNNNNNNNNNNNNNNNNNNNNNNNNNNNNNNNNNNNNNNNGUGUCCUUAACGUGUCCCUGCCACCACACGCGUGUCCCUGCCGUGUCCCUGUCACCUCAUGCGUGUCCCUAACGUGUCCCGGUCACCACACGUGUGUGCCAGGAGCGUGCCCGUGUGGCUCCACGCGUGUCCCUCGCGUGUCCUCAUGGCCACACGUGUCCUUAGCGUGUCCAUGUGGCUGCACACACGUGUCCCUUGUGUGCCCGUGCAGCCGCACACGCGUCCCGUGUCCCUGCACACCCAUCCCUGGCCCACCCGCACCCCGGCACACGCGUGUCCCUUGGCACAUACGUGUCCCUGCCGCGUCCCCACCCACGUGCGUGUCCCACCCGCACCCUGGCGUGUCCCCAUCCCGUCCCCCCCCCCGCCCUGCCCGCCACCCCCCUGGGGCACCCCAGCGCGUCCCCAGCGCGUCCCCGUCGGGGCGCGGGGGCGCAGGGCAGGGCCGCCACGGCGAGCCCCAGCCUGCCCCGACGCGCCGGCGGGACGGGCAGCGCCGUUCCCAGGCCCAGCCCUGCGCCCCUGCCGGCCCCACGGGUGACGCCAGCCCCACGGGUGACACCGGCCCCACGGGUGACGCGGGCCCCACGGGGUGACGCCAGCCAGGAAGCGCAGCGAGGGCGCAGCGGGGCCGGAUGGGGCCGGGGGCCGCGCGGCGGGGACGCGCCCCGGGUGGUGCCAUGGCCCCGGGGCCGCGGCGCUGAGGGCGGGGGGCUGCCAUGGGCCCCCCCCGGCAGCAGGUGCUGGGCGCCACCCCCGCCGAGGUGAGGCGGCACGAGGGGGCCAAGCAGCACCUCAACAACCUGAUCCGCCUGGUGGGCACCGUGCCCGACCCCCGGCUGCGCGCCAGCCUCACCGCGUCCCUCAGCGUCGUGCAAGGUACGGGGCAUGGCACUGGGACCAGUACCGGGACUGGGAAUGGGGCUGGGACUGGGAAUGGGACUGGGAAUGGAGCUGGGAACCAGUGCCGGAACUGGGAACUGGUGCUGGAACUGGGAACUGGUACCGGGAUGGACUGGAGCUGGGAACUGGUGCCGGAGCUUGGAACUGGUGCUGGAACUGGGAACUGGUGCCAGAACUGGGAACCAGUACUGGAGCUGGGAACCGGUACCAGGAACUGGUACUGGAGCUGGGAAUUGGUACCGGAACUGGGAACCGGUACUGGGAAUUGGGCACUGGGAACUGGGAACCAGGCCCAGAGGCCGCGGUGGCGCCUGGAGGUUGGGGAGGGGGCGUACGGAUGGAUGGACAGAGGGGAGGACGGACGA
rnacentral:lncRNA from 1 species